rnacentral:rRNA from 1 species
AUGGGGGGACCAUCCUCCAAGGCUAAAUACUCCUGACUGACCGAUAGUGAACUAGUACCGUGAGGGAAAGGCGAAAAGAACCCCGGCGAGGGGAGUGAAAAAGAACCUGAAACCGUGUACGUACAAGCAGUGGGAGCACAGAGCAAUCUGUGUGACUGCGUACCUUUUGUAUAAUGGGUCAGCGACUUAUAUUCUGUAGCAAGGUUAACCGAAUAGGGGAGCCGAAGGGAAACCGAGUCUUAACUGGGCGUUAAGUUGCAGGGUAUAGACCCGAAACCCGGUGAUCUAGCCAUGGGCAGGUUGAAGGUUGGGUAACACUAACUGGAGGACCGAACCGACUAAUGUUGAAAAAUUAGCGGAUGACUUGUGGCUGGGGGUGAAAGGCCAAUCAAACCGGGAGAUAGCUGGUUCUCCCCGAAAGCUAUUUAGGUAGCGCCUCGUGAAUUCAUCUCCGGGGGUAGAGCACUGUUUCGGCAAGGGGGUCAUCCCGACUUACCAACCCGAUGCAAACUGCGAAUACCGGAGAAUGUUAUCACGGGAGACACACGGCGGGUGCUAACGUCCGUCGUGAAGAGGGAAACAACCCAGACCGCCAGCUAAGGUCCCAAAGUCAUGGUUAAGUGGGAAACGAUGUGGGAAGGCCCAGACAGCCAGGAUGUUGGCUUAGAAGCAGCCAUCAUUUAAAGAAAGCGUAAUAGCUCACUGGUCGAGUCGGCCUGCGCGGAAGAUGUAACGGGGCUAAACCAUGCAC